rnacentral:rRNA from 1 species
UACGGAGGAUCCGAGCGUUAUCCGGAUUUAUUGGGUUUAAAGGGUGCGCAGGCGGGGGAUUAAGUCGGCGGUGAAAUUUUGCAGCUCAACUGUAAAAGUGCCUUCGAAACUGGUUUCCUUGAGUGUAGAUGAAGUAGGCGGAAUUUGUGGUGUAGCGGUGAAAUGCAUAGAUAUCACGAGGAACUCCGAUUGCGCAGGCAGCUUACUAAACUACUACUGACGCUCAUGCACGAAGGCGUGGGGAUCAAACAGGAUUAGAUACCCUGGUA